UACGUAGGUGGCAAGCGUUGUCCGGAUUUAUUGGGCGUAAAGCGCGCGCAGGCGGUGCGGUAAGGCUGCCGUGAAAUCGCCCGGCUCAACUGGGCGGGUGCGGUGGCGACUGCCGGACUGGAGGGACUCAGAGGCCGGUGGAAUUCCCGGUGUAGUGGUGAAAUGCGUAGAUAUUCGGAAGAACACCAGUGGCGAAGGCGACUUACUGGACACAUAUUGACGCUGAGGUGCGAAAGCGUGGGGAGCAAACAGG
rnacentral:rRNA from 1 species